rnacentral:rRNA from 1 species
AUUGAACGCUGGCGGCAUGCUUAACACAUGCAAGUCGAACGAUGAAGUCUCUUUUGAUGUACUGAUUAGUGGAAAAGGGGAGAGUCAUGCUUAUGAUUCUGCCUGUUAUCGGGGAAUAACCUGGGAAAAUUUAUCCUAUUACCGAUUACAACCUGCUUUUGAGAGGGGGCUUUUAACUCUCUUUAAUAUAUGAUGAUACCUCGGAUUAUCUACUUGGUGGGGUAAAAGUGUACUAACGCGACGAUCUGUAGCUGGUCUGAUAAGAUGAUCAUCCACACUGUUACUGAUACACUGCCCACACUCCUACUGGAGGAAGCAGUGGGGAAUAUUGUACCAUGGUGGAAAGCCUGAUGAUGCCAUGACGCGUGUGGGAAGAUGACCUUUUGGUUGUUAAGCACUUUAUGUGGCGAGGAAAAGCUUAUGGUUAAUACCCAUAUGCACCUGACGUUACCCACUAAAUACGCGCCGGCUAACUCUGUGAUAGUAGGCGCGCAUAAUACUGAGGGUGCUUACUGUUAAUCAGAAUUAUCUGGAGGUAGAUUGUCGCGUAGGUGGUUAUUUUACUCAGAUGUGACUGCCCCGGGCUUAGCCUGACGAACUGCAUCUGAUACUGGACUGACUUUAGUACGGGAGAGGGGACUGGAAUUCCUGGUGUAGCGGUGAAAUGCGCAGAGAUCUGGAGGAAUACCGAUGGCGAAGGCAGCUCCCUGGCAUCAUACUGACACUGAGGUGCGAAAGCGUGGGUAGCAAACAGGAUUAGAUACCCUGGUAGUCCACGCCGUAAACGAUGUCUACCAGUCGUAGGGUCCCUUAAAGACUUAUUGACGCAGUUUACGCCAUAAGUAGCCCGCCUGGGGAAGUCGGCCGCCAGGUUUAAACUUAAAUGAAUUGACGGGGGCCCGCCCCAGCGGUGGAGCCUGUGGUAUAAUUUGAUGCAACGCGAAGAACCUUUCCUGGUCCUGACCUAGCGAGAAUCUUGCAGAGAUACGAGAUUUCCUUCGGGAAUUCACAUCCAGGUGCGCCAGGCCUGUCUUCAGUUCGUGUCUGGAAAUGUGGGGUUAAUUCCCGCACGAAGCCCACCCUUUUUCUUUAGUUCCCACCGACUCGGUCGGGGAACUCAUAAGGAUCUCCCGAGGUUCAAUCGGGAGAAAGGGGGGGAGGAGUCCAAUUCUUCAGCGCCCUAUGUACCAGGCUUCCCCCAGUGUUCCAAGGGUGGUUCCAAAGGGAUCGAACACAUGAAGGUGAUGUUAUUGUCAAAAACCCAUUUGUAGUCCGGAUGGGAUUUGCCACUUGGCCUCCAGGAAUUGGAAUUGGUUGUUAUUGCCGAUCCACAAUGCUGCGGUGAAUACGUUCCCGGGCCU